ensembl:lncRNA
GGGUUGGUGCCAUUUCUCUGCCUGUGAGUCAGCAUUUAAUCUUAAAGCUUUUGCUAAUCAGUAUGAGUAGCAAAGAAGUCCCAAAAAAUUUUAUGUAACCCCUUCAUGAUAUUCACAAGCAUAAAAUUUCUGGUUUUGUGUGUGCUAGUGCAUUUUUUUUAAUAUCAACAUUUUACUGUUUGCCGAACUAAUUAUUUAUUUCUUUAUCAAACAUGAAAUGGCCUGAGGUCAUUCGUCAGGGGGAAGUUUGACAGGCAUUCAGAAUGCAGUUUCACUUCCCGUUACUUGUUCAGCAUGAAGACACUUGUUGUUUCCUCCCUUUGCCACCUGCAUCAUGAUGCUCUAUUUAUAAACCCUAUUGCAAUCUCAUGCCCUUUAAGUUUUUUAUUUGAAUUACAUGAAUUGUACUGGUCAUCUUCAUAUGACAAACCAUCAAAUAGACACCUUGGACUUUUUAUAUUCAUGACAUUAUUAAAUUAAGCUAUGAGAAUGCAUGAGAAGUUUUCAACAGCCAAGAGGAAGUCCCUGACUGCAUGAGCCAUUAACAGGAACAGGAACAGAUGAGAACGAAAAGAGAAAGAAGAAGCGCAGGGGACGUCCCUGAACCAGUCCAAUUUAAAAUCUGCUACAAAAAUCAAAACAAAAAUACAAUGGUUCAAAGCAACGCCACUUCAACCUCUGCAAAGGAUAUUUUAUCUAAACCUGAAAAAAACACAAGUAAGACACUUUACAGUCAUUUCCUCAUUCUUUCUCUAAUUAUUCAUCCUCGCUCUGUUCCUGCGCCUCUCCAUUACUGUAAAUAUGGUUCUUUUUGGUUUUGGACAC